rnacentral:rRNA from 1 species
CACACUGGCACUGCGACACGGGCCAGACUCCUACGGGAGGCAGCAGUGAGGAAUAUUGCGCAAUGGGCGAAAGCCUGACGCAGCGACGCCGCGUGGGGGAUGAAGGUCUUCGGAUUGUAAACCCCUUUCGGGAGGGAAGAUGGGACGGGAAACCGUUCGGACGGUACCUCCAGAAGCAGCCACGGCUAACUUCGUGCCAGCCGCCGCCGUAACAC